UCUAAUGUUAAUUAAAAAUAGUAAAAGGGGAAAUUAGGGUUCAAUGUUGUGACUAUUCAGAUCUCACGUUCUUCUUCCUCCUUCUCUCCAAAAACGAAAUGGCGCCGUGAACUUCUCCUUCUACGACGAAGCGUCGACGGCGCCACCACCUCCGCAACCAUAAUCCUUUCCUUUAGAUUUCUCCGUCUCACAUCUCUCUACACUUUUCCUCAUAAACCACACACGAAGCCGUAUCGAAGGAAGGGGAAAAUAAACCCUAAGUGCAAUGAUCUCUGAUUAAGCAUGAGCUGGACGCAAAUUAAAAUUAAGAUGGAGCCAAGGCACUUCAGAACAACAACGAAAAGAAGUAUCCAUGGAGAUGUGAAUGGAAGCAGAGAAAAAUAAGAAACAACAUUUACCUAUCGGAGUAGCUCCGGCGGCCCUUCAACGGCGUGGAUUUGGCAAAAUAAACUCGAGGAAAACUUCAGGUAAUUUCUUGGUUAUUCUUCAAUUCUCACUAUGAUCCUUCUUCUUCUUGUUCUGCGAAUUCUCUGGUUCUGCGUUUUGUAUUUUUGUUGAUGAGUGUGGCGGCAAGGAGUGGCUGAGCUCAGGUUGGUUAAGAGUUCCUGGCGAGCUAUGAGAAACCUUGGUUGUGAGCUUUUGUGUGAUGAAGAUGAAGGAGAGAAAUUGAAGGAUCAAGAAGGUUCAGAGAGAGAGAGAUAGGCUCGGAGAGAGGAUUUGCAGAGGUGUGGAGGUUAAGGGAUGAAGAUGAUUAUGGAGAGAGAUUGAAGAUGAAUGGCGAUAUCAAGAGGAGAAGGAGAAAAAAUGGUGAUUAUGGCGUGGAGAAAAAAAUGGUGGAAAGGUUUGAAUAUCUAGAAGUUGAGGGAGAGAAUCAGUUAUGGUUUGUUACAGAGGAGUGAAUCUGAGCAUCUGGAUUGAAGAGUUGGUUAUAAGAUAGAAGGUGAGGAUUAAUCGGUUAAAAGGUUAGUUGAUAUUCUGAUUUUCUCUGUUACAGGUUAGUUGACAGUUAGAAUUAGUUACAUUCUGUUAGGGUUGUUUGAAGACCAUGAGCUACAAUGUUAGUUAUUUGAUUAGUAGUUAGACUUUAGAAAACAGUUAGGUUAUUAGUUAGAAAAGUUAGUUAAAAACAGUUGGCACUUUGUUAGACUGUUAGUUAGAACUCUGUUAGAACAAUUAGUUAGUAAUUUUGAACUGGCUUAAAGUGAACAUGACCCAUGGAAUUGCACUGGACUUUUUUUGUGUUUGAACUUGCAGAUGUUUGGAUUUUGAUAGUAUGUCGAAUUGGUGUCAAUGUAGGUGAGUAUGUAUGCAAUUUUGAAUUAAUUUCCCUCUGAACGUACUGUUAAUGUUACAAAUGUAGACGAGUACCGAAACUGACGCUGGAUCUUUGAAUGAAUGUACAGGUUGAUUUUCUGUUACGCACUUUCACUGAGCUAUAAUGCAAACUGGAUUGUCAUUGUUGUGUGGGUUAAAGUUUUUUUUUGAAGUAUGAAUCAGGUGGUGAGGUUUUGUGUGGACUGUUUUGAAUGGAAGAAGCUUGAACACUAGAAUGAGGUUACUGAUAUGAUUUGGUUCAUGGUGGCAGGCUGCUUAAUGACGUAUCAUUGUGUCGGCUCACAACAAAUUUGCUUCUUGUCUAGCAGCAGGUGGAGAAGGGUAUUGAACAUGAAGCUUAUGAUUUGAUGGAUUGGGAUGUGGUGCAAAGAUGGAGUUGGAAUUUAUAAAAAUGGGCUUUAUUGUAACUUGUAACUUUUUUUGUAUGGAAUGUGACAUGAUAUAGAUGAUAUCCUGGAUGUGUAGUGGAUAUGUAUUGUAGUAAACAAUGUUUUGAAGUAUAUUUGUAAGGGACUUGGAUUUUGUAGUUGACAUUUGAGUGUGUAAACUUUGUUUAUGACUUAGAAUUGUAGUGAAAGUUCCUUUUUUGUAAUGACAUGGUUUCUUGGACUUUGAAAAUUAA